CCCGUACACAAAAAUGCACAUGCUGUGAGCUCGAUGAGUAGGGCGGGACACGUGGUAUCCUGUCUGAAUAUGGGGGGACCAUCCUCCAAGGCUAAAUACUCCUGACUGACCGAUAGUGAACCAGUACCGUGAGGGAAAGGCGAAAAGAACCCCGGCGAGGGGAGUGAAAAAGAACCUGAAACCGUGUACGUACAAGCAGUGGGAGCCUCUUUUAUGGGGUGACUGCGUACCUUUUGUAUAAUGGGUCAGCGACUUAUAUUCUGUAGCAAGGUUAACCGAAUAGGGGAGCCGAAGGGAAACCGAGUCUUAACUGGGCGUUAAGUUGCAGGGUAUAGACCCGAAACCCGGUGAUCUAGCCAUGGGCAGGUUGAAGGUUGGGUAACACUAACUGGAGGACCGAACCGACUAAUGUUGAAAAAUUAGCGGAUGACUUGUGGCUGGGGGUGAAAGGCCAAUCAAACCGGGAGAUAGCUGGUUCUCCCCGAAAGCUAUUUAGGUAGCGCCUCGUGAAUUCAUCUCCGGGGGUAGAGCACUGUUUCGGCAAGGGGGUCAUCCCGACUUACCAACCCGAUGCAAACUGCGAAUACCGGAGAAUGUUAUCACGGGAGACACACGGCGGGUGCUAACGUCCGUCGUGAAGAGGGAAACAACCCAGACCGCCAGCUAAGGUCCCAAAGUCAUGGUUAAGUGGGAAACGAUGUGGGAAGGCCCAGACAGCCAGGAUGUUGGCUUAGAAGCAGCCAUCAUUUAAAGAAAGCGUAAUAGCUCACUGGUCGAGUCGGCCUGCGCGGAAGAUGUAACGGGGCUAAACCAUGCACCGAAGCUGCGGCAGCGACGCUUAUGCGUUGUUGGGUAGGGGAGCGUUCUGUAAGCCUGUGAAGGUGUGCUGUGAGGCAUGCUGGAGGUAUCAGAAGUGCGAAUGCUGACAUAAGUAACGAUAAAGCGGGUGAAAAGCCCGCUCGCCGGAAGACCAAGGGUUCCUGUCCAACGUUAAUCGGGGCAGGGUGAGUCGACCCCUAAGGCGAGGCCGAAAGGCGUAGUCGAUGGGAAACAGGUUAAUAUUCCUGUACUUGGUGUUACUGCGAAGGGGGGACGGAGAAGGCUAUGUUGGCCGGGCGACGGUUGUCCCGGUUUAAGCGUGUAGGCUGGUUUUCCAGGCAAAUCCGGAAAAUCAAG
rnacentral:rRNA from 1 species